UACGAAGGGGGCUAGCGUUGUUCGGAAUCACUGGGCGUAAAGGGCGCGUAGGCGGCUUUGUAAGUCGGGGGUGAAAGCCUGUGGCUCAACCACAGAAUUGCCUUCGAUACUGCAUGGCUUGAGACCGGAAGAGGUAAGUAGAACUGCGAGUGUAGAGGUGAAAUUCGUAGAUAUUCGCAAGAACACCAGUGGCGAAGGCGGCUUACUGGUCCGGUUCUGACGCUGAGGCGCGAAAGCGUGGGGAGCAAACAGG
rnacentral:rRNA from 1 species